rnacentral:lncRNA from 1 species
AUCCUAGUCUCAGAGACGUGAACAAAGGAAUGCUUUGCUUUGUCCCACAGCAGGAACCACAGCUCCAUCGCCACCCCAGGCCACCAACAAGAUGACAGAAAAGAGUUCAGCGUUUCCCACUCUUCGUCUUGUCCUCGGGAACUACUGUGAUCUAGGGUCGCUGGCAGAGAGAGUCUGGGAUCAUCUGUCAGUUGGGUCCACGCGUGAAUCCAUUUGUUGCUUUUCACGGUUAAUUUCUUUCUCUAAUGAGCAGAUAUUUCCCUGGUGAAAUGUGUUUGAAGUACCUGACUGAGGCAGAAUAUCCACUUCAGUAUUGAAUUGUGCCUCGGUCUCCUCCAUCUGUGAAACAAUUAAACUGGCACCUACGUGGGUCACUCUUUCAUGCCUGUGAAGAUGGUGCAUGGACGGUGACCAGCACAGCGCUUGGUGUGGGGUAAAGCCUUCAUAGUAAGCUCAUCAUU